rnacentral:rRNA from 1 species
AGUUUGAUCCUGGCUCAGGACGAACGCUGGCGGCGUGCCUAAUACAUGCAAGUCGAGCGCAGGAAGCAAGUUGAUCCCCUUCGGGGGUGACGCUUGUGGAAUGAGCGGCGGACGGGUGAGUAACACGUGGGCAACCUGCCUGUAAGACUGGGAUAACCCCGGGAAACCGGGGCUAAUACCGGAUAAUACUUUCUUUUGCAUAAAGGAAAGUUGAAAGGCGGCUUCGGCUGUCACUUACAGAUGGGCCCGCGGCGCAUUAGCUAGUUGGUGAGGUAACGGCUCACCAAGGCGACGAUGCGUAGCCGACCUGAGAGGGUGAUCGGCCACACUGGGACUGAGACACGGCCCAGACUCCUACGGGAGGCAGCAGUAGGGAAUCUUCCGCAAUGGACGAAAGUCUGACGGAGCAACGCCGCGUGAGUGAUGAAGGUUUUCGGAUCGUAAAACUCUGUUGUUAGGGAAGAACAAGUACGAUAGUAACUGAUCGUACCUGAC